rnacentral:lncRNA from 1 species
GAGUUAGAAUUUAGGGUCAAAAGGGAGUAAUUUUAAAUAAAAGCAAGCUGUUAGUCAGAAUCUGUAGUAGUAGUAGUAGAAGCUUUUCUUUUUGUUCUUUGUGCUUUAACUUUCCAUUUGAAUGCCAAAACCAAGAUACUUUCUCAGAAUAAUAGACAGAAAAUAUUAAUAGAAAAUGGUUUACUUUUUCUUGAAUUUUUCACUUGUGUUCUUGUUCAUUGAGAAAUGAGGUGAACAAUGAUGAAUUAAUU